CACUCAUGGCUCAGGUCAGCUGACGUCCCUUCCUGUGCCCUUCCAUGGUGGGAGACCACCGCGGGAUGGACCUGUGCUCCUGACCAAGCCUGAAUUAUAAGAGAAUUCUUGUGCUUCUAAAGGCUUCUAAGGCAGAAAAGUAGACACAGGUUCUGAAAAUUCUGAUCUCAGAGUUCUGACUUUCCCAGGCAUGAAGCUCCCUUUGAGGCCCUCAGUUCCACUAGCAAAGCAUGGGGUGCUUCCCGGCCACCCUGCAAGCUGGGCUCCCAGACUCAUGAGAGUGUUUCCCAGCUGGGUCAGAAGUAACGCAUCCCUAAGCUGCUCCAAGUAACAAUCCUGUUAGUGGACUGGAAAGCCGCUUGUUCUCAGACCAUUGAUUUCAAAGCUAGAAAACAGCAGGUAACUCUCUCACAUCUUUUUUUUUUUUUUUUUUUUAAUUUAGAGCAAGUGGUUGUGUGUUUCAGGGAAGGAUAGGCUUGGGAUGGUUGUGGGAAGGGGAGGACAGACA
rnacentral:lncRNA from 1 species